ACAGCACAGACUUGAGUGAGUAUCAUUACUCUCCUGUUACUGUCAACACCUCUGUGGAAGCUAAAGACAAGGGAGACAUCAUUAAACCCCAGUCCUACUCCGGAAGCCUUUCCUACCAGGACUCUGGCUCUCUUUCGCACUGUGGAGGGAUAACAUGGAAUUAGAGAGCGGCACAGGUCCUGCUGCUGGUGGUCAGCGGCCUGCUGAGCUGGUAACCAGCUUAAAGCCUCCUCCUGUGGUGAAGCUCCGCCGCUUCUGGCAUGGAACAGAGCUGAGCCGCGGUCAGACGUGACCAGGCUCAGCCACCUGGAAGUAGCUUCAACUCGCCUCCCAUUCUCAGAGGAUUAGCAAACCAUUCAGGAGGAGACCAAGAGGGUUUGCCGACGCUGCUGGAAAUCCUGACGACGGAGCGCAUGAAAAGCACGGCAGUAGCGCAUGACAAAAAGUCUAACUCUGCAAAGCAUCACAAAGCUUUUUAAUGCCACUUUAUUUCAAGAAAAUCAAAGAAUUAUGUAAAAAGAGUAUUAAUUUCCUCUGCAUAAAAGCGUUCAUUAACAGAGUAUAAUCAAUUACCCACCUAUAUAUUAAGAAUUUUGAGUAAUGCGUACCCUAUGGCCUAAUGUUCAUGUAUUGUAAAAAAGAAAUUUCCAGGUUACUUCUACGUGUUAACAAUAUAGAAGAGACGUCCUUAAAUUCCAUCUGCAGUAAAAGCAUCACAGCUGGCUCACCAUCUGGAUAACUUAA